GUCAGCUUUGCUUCGCUUUCGGUCAUUCUUCUCUUUUUUUUUUUUAAACCAAACGCCUCAGGACGGACAGACGGACUCCAUCACCCUCCAGCAAGAGCUGUUCCCAGCGAGGCUGUGACGAGGCAGAACGGACGCAGCUCCCCGCUGCAGCCGCCCAGGGCAAACCCGACUCCCGCACGUUCCCAGACGGCCAUUUCUCCCCACCCCGAGAACCGAAUUCGAAGAACAAACCCAAGAGAAACUAACCCGGCAAAGGACGCGGCUCGGCUGCUCGGGGUUUCUGGGGUAACCCGAGGCCACCGGGCCGCCCCCCCGCGUCCCCACGCAGCCGGAGCGAGGCAGGGCAGGGCAGGUGCCGGGCGCGGCCGCCGACCUUCGCUCCGCGCACGGGCAGCGCCGCACCGGGAGCCCCGCGGCUCAAAGCUCCCCCAGCAGCGGCUCCCGACCCGGGGGGCUCCGCCGCGCCCGGCCUCAGCUGUCACGGCCCCGGAGCCGCGCCGUGAUUUCGUAACAGGGUGCCGAACAUUACGUAAGAAAACAGUUAUUCCCGCUGUGACGCGCCUCGGAGGGCAAAAAGGAAAGGCGAACCGCCAUCGGCUGCCACCCGGCGCCGGUCGUUCCCCCCCCACAAUCACGCAGCGCGGUGACCCGGCGACCCGGACCCCGCUCGCUCUACCUGGCCCCACCGCGGCGGCAGCACCGCGCGCUGCGCUCCGCUCCCGAUGCCGCCUCGGGCUCCUGCGGCUCGGCCUGACCCCGUCCUGUUCCGGCCCGGCGCCUCCCCGGGCUCUGCGGUGGCGGCUGCGUGACGUCGGGCGGGGACGGCGGGGAGGGGACGGGGCGGGACGGGGCGGGCUCUGCCGCCGCACCGGGAGCCGGGAGCCUUUCCCCGGACUCAGCGGCACCGAGCGACCCCGGCUGGACCGGGACGCAGCACCCCCGAAGCGGCCCCGAGGCACCUGCAAAGCGCGGCCCUCGGCCCCGGCUGGAAACCGUGUCGGAGGACUCGCCGGAGAUGUCCGUAUGAUGCAGCAGUGGGUGAAGGAGCUGCAAAGCGGAGAUGCUCAGGGAAGGACCGUUUGCAGCACUUUGCAUAACGCGCAUCUGCCAGAAGAUGGCAGCAGACGCCCUGGGAUGGAGCUGGCAGCGGUGGCAGCUGCUCUGCGGGGCUCUAUUUUUCAUAUACUCUUACGAGCUGCAGAUUGCGCUGGUGGAAACGGAAUAACAGAGAAUACAUAA
rnacentral:lncRNA from 1 species